AUGCAAGUCGAGCGAAUGGAUUAAGAGCUUGCUCUUAUGAAGUUAGCGGCGGACGGGUGAGUAACACGUGGGUAACCUGCCCAUAAGACUGGGAUAACUCCGGGAAACCGGGGCUAAUACCGGAUAACAUUUUGAACCGCAUGGUUCGAAAUUGAAAGGCGGCUUCGGCUGUCACUUAUGGAUGGACCCGCGUCGCAUUAGCUAGUUGGUGAGGUAACGGCUCACCAAGGCAACGAUGCGUAGCCGACCUGAGAGGGUGAUCGGCCACACUGGGACUGAGACACGGCCCAGACUCCUACGGGAGGCAGCAGUAGGGAAUCUUCCGCAAUGGACGAAAGUCUGACGGAGCAACGCCGCGUGAGUGAUGAAGGCUUUCGGGUCGUAAAACUCUGUUGUUAGGGAAGAACAAGUGCUAGUUGAAUAAGCUGGCACCUUGACGGUACCUAACCAGAAAGCCACGGCUAACUACGUGCCAGCAGCCGCGGUAAUACGUAGGUGGCAAGCGUUAUCCGGAAUUAUUGGGCGUAAAGCGCGCGCAGGUGGUUUCUUAAGUCUGAUGU
rnacentral:rRNA from 1 species